CUCUAUUCGGGAAUCAUCGUGUGCCGUUCGGAUAGCUCCGUAGUAAUGCAAUAAAACUUAGUCAGUGCGUGUGCGUCCGACGGAAACAUUAUUUGGAGGUUAUUUUUUGAUGAAACUGAUAACAUAGUAAAAUGUCACAACGAGAAACAAAGCCGAUUUGGCAGUACUUUGAUAAAAGUAUCAGUGAUACAUCAAAAGCUGUUUGCAAGUAUUUAUUGUAUUAAAUAAAUGAUUACAAUACCUACAACAAACUGAAUUAA